rnacentral:rRNA from 1 species
AGUGAACGCUGGCGGUAGGCCUAACACAUGCAAGUCGAACGGCAGCACAGUAAGAGCUUGCUCUUACGGGUGGCGAGUGGCGGACGGGUGAGGAAUACAUCGGAAUCUACUUUUUCGUGGGGGAUAACGUAGGGAAACUUACGCUAAUACCGCAUACGACCUACGGGUGAAAGCAGGGGAUCUUCGGACCUUGCGCGGAUGAAUGAGCCGAUGUCGGAUUAGCUAGUUGGCGGGGUAAAGGCCCACCAAGGCGACGAUCCGUAGCUGGUCUGAGAGGAUGAUCAGCCACACUGGAACUGAGACACGGUCCAGACUCCUACGGGAGGCAGCAGUGGGGAAUAUUGGACAAUGGGCGCAAGCCUGAUCCAGCCAUACCGCGUGGGUGAAGAAGGCCUUCGGGUUGUAAAGCCCUUUUGUUGGGAAAGAAAAGCAGCAGGUUAAUACCCCGCUGUUCUGACGGUACCCAAAGAAUAAGCACCGGCUAACUUCGUG